rnacentral:rRNA from 1 species
UACAGAGGUGGCAAGCGUUGUUCGGAAUUACUGGGCGUAAAGGGCGCGUAGGCGGCCAUCUAAGUCAGACGUGAAAUCCCCCGGCUUAACCUGGGAACUGCGUCUGAUACUGGACGGCUCGAGUUUGGGAGAGGGAUGCAGAAUUCCAGGUGUAGCGGUGAAAUGCGUAGAUAUCUGGAGGAAUACCGGUGGCGAAGGCGGCAUCCUGGACCAACACUGACGCUGAGGCGCGAAAGCUAGGGGAGCGAACAGG